UACGGAAUGUGCAAACGUUAUUCGGAAUCACUGGGCUUAAAGAGUCCGUAGGCGGCAUGUUAGGUGAGGUGUGAAAUCCCCCGGCUCAACCGAGGAAUUGCGCUUCAAACCGGCGUGCUCGAGGAAGAUAGAGGUGGGCGGAACUGAUGGUGGAGCGGUGAAAUGCGUUGAUAUCAUCAGGAACACCGGAGGCGAAGGCGGCCCACUGGGUCUUUUCUGACGCUGAGGGACGAAAGCCAGGGGAGCGAACGGG
rnacentral:rRNA from 1 species